GAGUUUGAUCAUGGCUCAGGACGAACGCUGGCGGCGUGCCUAAUACAUGCAAGUCGAGCGAGGGUUUUAAGACCCUAGCGGCGGACGGGUGAGUAACACGUAGGCAACCUGCCUCUCAGACCGGGAUAACAUAGGGAAACUUAUGCUAAUACCGGAUAGGUUUUGGAUUGCAUGAUCCGAAAAGAAAGAUGGCUUUUGCUAUCACUGGGUAGAUGGCCUGCGGCGCAUUAGCUAG
rnacentral:rRNA from 1 species